rnacentral:rRNA from 1 species
CUACGGGGCGCUGCAGUCGAGGAAAUUUUACAAUGCUCGAAAGAGUGAUAGAAUAAGCCAGAGUGUUUCUCAUAGAGAAACUUUUACCUGUUGUAAAAAGACAGGAGAAUAAGUACUGGGCAAGAGCCGGUGCCAGCCGCCGCGGUAAUACCGGCGGUCCAAGUCGCAUCCACAUUUAUUGGGUCUAAAACAUUCGUAGCUUGUUUUGUAAGUUUCUUGUGAAAUCUGAUAUCUCAAGUAUCAGGCGUGCAAGAAAUACUACAUUACUAGAGACCGGAAGAUGUAAAGAGUACGAUAGAGGUAGCGGUAAAAUGUGUUAAUCUCUAUCGGACUAACAAUGGCGAAGGCACUUUACAAGUACGGAUCUGACAGUGAGGGAUGAAGGCCAGGGGCGCAAAAGGGAUUAGAUACCCUGGUAGUC